UACAGAGGUCUCAAGCGUUGUUCGGAUUCAUUGGGCGUAAAGGGUGCGUAGGUGGCGCUGUAAGUCGGGUGUGAAAUUUCGGAGCUUAACUCCGAAACUGCAUUCGAUACUGCGGUGCUUGAGGACUGGAGAGGAGACUGGAAUUCAUGGUGUAGCAGUGAAAUGCGUAGAGAUCAUGAGGAAGACCAGUGGCGAAGGCGGGUCUCCGGACAGUUCCUGACACUGAGGCACGAAGGCCAGGGGGAGCAAACGGG
rnacentral:rRNA from 1 species